UAUGGCGACCGGCGCACGGGUGAGUAACACGUAUCCAACCUGCCGAUGACUCGGGGAUAGCCUUUCGAAAGAAAGAUUAAUACCCGAUGGCAUAGUUCUUCCGCAUGGUAGAACUAUUAAAGAAUUUCGGUUAUCGAUGGGGAUGCGUUCCAUUAGGCAGUUGGUGAGGUAACGGCUCACCAAACCUUCGAUGGAUAGGGGUUCUGAGAGGAAGGUCCCCCACAUUGGAACUGAGACACGGUCCAA
rnacentral:rRNA from 1 species